CUGAACUGAACUGAGAAUAUACAGCCUUGUUGUACUCCUUUACCAAUUUUUAACCAGUCUGUUGUUCCAUGUCCAGUUAUAAUAGUUGCUUCUUGACUUGCAUCCUGCUGCUGCUGCUGCUAAGUCGCUUCAAUCGUGUCCAGCUCUAUGCGACCCCAUAGAUGGCAGCCCAUCAGGCUCCACCGUCCCUGGGAUUCUCCAGUUUUAACAUUUAUUGAUGCUUGCUGCUGCUGCUGCUAAGUCGCUUCAGUCGUGUCCGACUCUGUGCGACCCAAUAGACAGCAGCCCACCAGGCUCCCCCGUCCCUGGGAUUCUCCAGGCAAGAACACUGGAGUGGGUUGCCAUUUCCUUCUCCAAUGCAUGAAAGUGAAAAGUGAAAGUGAAGUCGCUGAGUUGUGUCUGACCCUCAGCAACCCCAUGGACUGCAGCCUUCCAGGCUCCUCCAUCCAUGGGAUUUUCCAGGCAAGAGUACUGGAGUGUGGUGCCAUUAUGUAUUUAUUAUUUUGCCUAUUUAAAAAUUAUUUACUUAUAAUUUAUUUUGACUGUGCUGGGUCUUCACUGCUCUACUUAGUCUUUCUUUGGUUGCAGUGGGCAGGGGCUACUUUUUGCAGGUGCAUGUGCUUCUCAUUGCAGUGGCUUUUCUUGUUGGGGAGCAAGGCUCUAGGUGCAUGGGCUUCCGUAGUUGCAUCCCUCAGGCUCAGUAGUUGUGGCUCACAGGCCCCAGAGCAUACAGGCUCCAAUAGCUGUGGCUCUUGGGCUCAGUAGUUAUGGGCUUUAGUUGCUUCUUUGAGUGUGGAAGCUUUCAGGACCCGGGAUCAAACCCGAGUCCCCUGCAUUGGCAGGUAGAUUCCUAUUCACUGUACCACCAGGGAAGCCCUGUUUUGCCAAUUUUUGAAUAUUAUAUAAAUGUAAUCACAGAGUAUGAGUUCUCUGGCUGCUUCUUUUAACUCAACAUUGUUUUGAGAAUCUUUGAUGUGAUGUCUGCAGCUGUAGUUUGCUCAUCUCAUUGCUGUGUAGCACUCCAUUGUAUGUCUCUACCAUGAUCAAUUAUCCAUUUUUCUUUCAACUCCAAGAAUUCAUUCCUGAAGCCAUCUGGACCUGGUGCUUGCUUUGAGAAAAGUUAAGUUCAUUCAAAUUCUUUAAUGGCUAUAAGAUUUUUUUAAAUUGAAGACUAUAUAUUUUUAGGAUGGGAAAAAAUCUAACUUUAAUUUAUAAUUAACAAAGGUAAAAUGAAGUUUGAUUUUUUUGUUUUUGUUUUUUUCUUUUUUGGCCUUGCCGCUUGAGGGACCUUUGUUCCCUGACCAAGGACUGAACCUGGGCCCCCCAGCAGUGGAAGUGACAAGUCCUAACUACUGGAUCACCAGGGAAUUCUCAAAAUGAAGGUUUUUAUUGGAUUAUUUGACAGCCUAAAAAUUUUUCCCCAAAACAUGACAAUCCAAACGUCCUGUAAACAAUAAACUGUGGUUCCAAAGCACACAGCCUUUUUCAUUACUGAAAAUACUAUCUUUAU
ensembl:lncRNA